UUAACCGAAUAGGGGAGCCGGAGGGAAACCGAGUCUUAAUUGGGCGUUAAGUUGCAGGGUAUAGACCCGAAACCCGGUGAUCUAGCCAUGGGCAGGUUGAAGGUUGGGUAACACUAACUGGAGGACCGAACCGACUAAUGUUGAAAAAUUAGCGGAUGACCUGUGGCUGGGGGUGAAAGGCCAAUCAAACCGGGAGAUAGCUGGUUCUCCCCGAAAGCUAUUUAGGUAGCGCCUCGUGAAUUCAUCUCCGGGGGUAGAGCACUGUUUCGGCUAGGGGGCCAUCCCGGCUUACCAACCCGAUGCAAACUGCGAAUACCGGAGAAUGUUAUCACGGGAGACACACGGCGGGUGCUAACGUCCGUCGUGAAGAGGGAAACAACCCAGACCGCCAGCUAAGGUCCCAAAGUCAUGGUUAAGUGGGAAACGAUGUGGGAAGGCCCAGACAGCCAGGAUGUUGGCUUAGAAGCAGCCAUCAUUUAAAGAAAGCGUAAUAGCUCACUGGUCGAGUCGGCCUGCGCGGAAGAUGUAACGGGGCUAAACCAUGCACCGAAGCUGCGGCAGCGACGCUUAUGCGUUGUUGGGUAGGGGAGCGUUCUGUAAGCCUGCGAAGGUGGCCUGUGAGGGUUGCUGGAGGUAUCAGAAGUGCGAAUGCUGACAUAAGUAACGAUAAAGCGGGUGAAAAGCCCGCUCGCCGGAAGACCAAGGGUUCCUGUCCAACGUUAAUCGGGGCAGGGUGAGUCGACCCCUAAGGCGAGGCCGAAAGGCGUAGUCGAUGGGAAACGGGUUAAUAUUCCCGUACUUGGUGUUACUGCGAAGGGGGGACGGAGAAGGCUAUGUUGGCCGGGCGACGGUUGUCCCGGUUUAAGCGUGUAGGUGUGUGUUCCAGGUAAAUCCGGUUCACUUUAACACUGAGGCGUGACGACGAGGCACUACGGUGCUGAAGCAACAAAUGCCCUGCUUCCAGGAAAAGCCUCUAAGCAUCAGGUAACAUCAAAUCGUACCCCAAACCGACACAGGUGGUCAGGUAGAGAAUACCAAGGCGCUUGAGAGAACUCGGGUGAAGGAACUAGGCAAAAUGGUGCCGUAACUUCGGGAGAAGGCACGCUGACACGUAGGUGAAGUGAUUUACUCAUGGAGCUGAAGUCAGUCGAAGAUACCAGCUGGCUGCAACUGUUUAUUAAAAACACAGCACUGUGCAAACACGAAAGUGGACGUAUACGGUGUGACGCCUGCCCGGUGCCGGAAGGUUAAUUGAUGGGGUCAGCGCAAGCGAAGCUCCUGAUCGAAGCCCCGGUAAACGGCGGCCGUAACUAUAACGGUCCUAAGGUAGCGAAAUUCCUUGUCGGGUAAGUUCCGACCUGCACGAAUGGCGUAAUGAUGGCCAGGCUGUCUCCACCCGAGACUCAGUGAAAUUGAACUCGCUGUGAAGAUGCAGUGUACCCGCGGCAAGACGGAAAGACCCCGUGAACCUUUACUAUAGCUUGACACUGAACAUUGAGCCUUGAUGUGUAGGAUAGGUGGGAGGCUUUGAAGUGUGGACGCCAGUCUGCAUGGAGCCGACCUUGAAAUACCACCCUUUAAUGUUUGAUGUUCUAACGUGGACCCGUUACCCGGGUUGCGGACAGUGUCUGGUGGGUAGUUUGACUGGGGCGGUCUCCUCCUAAAGAGUAACGGAGGAGCACGAAGGUUGGCUAAUCCUGGUCGGACAUCAGGAGGUUAGUGCAAUGGCAUAAGCCAGCUUGACUGCGAGCGUGACGGCGCGAGCAGGUGCGAAAGCAGGUCAUAGUGAUCCGGUGGUUCUGAAUGGAAGGGCCAUCGCUCAACGGAUAAAAGGUACUCCGGGGAUAACAGGCUGAUACCGCCCAAGAGUUCAUAUCGACGGCGGUGUUUGGCACCUCGAUGUCGGCUCAUCACAUCCUGGGGCUGAAGUAGGUCCCAAGGGUAUGGCUGUUCGCCAUUUAAAGUGGUACGCGAGCUGGGUUUAGAACGUCGUGAGACAGUUCGGUCCCUAUCUGCCGUGGGCGCUGGAGAACUGAGGGGGGCUGCUCCUAGUACGAGAGGACCGGAGUGGACGCAUCACUGGUGUUCGGGUUGUCAUGCCAAUGGCACUGCCCGGUAGCUAAAUGCGGAAGAGAUAAGUGCUGAAAGCAUCUAAGCACGAAACUUGCCCCGAG
rnacentral:rRNA from 1 species